GCAUCGGUGGUUCAGUGGUAGAAUGCUCGCCUGCCACGCGGGAGGCCCGGGUUCGAUUCCCGACCGAUGCA
rnacentral:tRNA from 1 species